UUCUAAGAGUACCCUGGAUUAUUGUGUGAGUUCCAGCACAGCAGACUUAAAUAUGACAUGUGGUCAAUGGCUGCUCUUGGUGUGUUUAUGCAAACGAAUAGGCAAAACGUUACCAAUCUGCUCGGUAACAUGAAGGCUGUUCUCCCUUUUUACAGUCCAAAGUCGGUGGGCUGAGAGUCAUGGCACCACACUGCCCUUGUCCCUGCUGAUUUCUUAGGGCUGCUUCUGAGGAAAAGACAAGAAC